AUUGAACGCUGGCGGCAGGCCUAACACAUGCAAGUCGAGCGGAUGAAGGGAGCUUGCUCCUGGAUUCAGCGGCGGACGGGUGAGUAAUGCCUAGGAAUCUGCCUGGUAGUGGGGGAUAACGUCCGGAAACGGGCGCUAAUACCGCAUACGUCCUGAGGGAGAAAGUGGGGGAUCUUCGGACCUCACGCUAUCAGAUGAGCCUAGGUCGGAUUAGCUAGUUGGUGGGGUAAAGGCCUACCAAGGCGACGAUCCGUAACUGGUCUGAGAGGAUGAUCAGUCACACUGGAACUGAGACACGGGCCAGACAACUGCGGGAGGCAGCAGUGGGGAAUAGUGGACGAUGGGCGAAAGCCUGGUCCUGCCAGUCCGCGUGUGUGAAGAAGGUCUUCGGAGGGGAAAGCACUUGAAGUGGGGAGGAAGGGCAGUAAGGUAAUACCUUGCUGUUUUGACGUUACCAACAGAAUAAGCACCGGCUAACUACGUG
rnacentral:rRNA from 1 species